UACGAAGGGGGCUAGCGUUGCUCGGAAUCACUGGGCGUAAAGCGCACGUAGGCGGCUUUCUAAGUCAGGGGUGAAAUCCUGGAGCUCAACUCCAGAACUGCCUUUGAUACUGGAGAGCUUGAGUCCGGGAGAGGUGAGUGGAACUCCGAGUGUAGAGGUGAAAUUCGUAGAUAUUCGGAAGAACACCAGUGGCGAAGGCGGCUCACUGGCCCGGUACUGACGCUGAGGUGCGAAAGCUAGGGGAGCAAACGGG
rnacentral:rRNA from 1 species